rnacentral:rRNA from 1 species
AAAUUGAAGAGUUUGAUCAUGGCUCAGAUUGAACGCUGGCGGCAGGCCUAACACAUGCAAGUCGAACGGUAGCACAGAGAGCUUGCUCUCGGGUGACGAGUGGCGGACGGGUGAGUAAUGUCUGGGAAACUGCCUGAUGGAGGGGGAUAACUACUGGAAACGGUGGCUAAUACCGCAUAACGUCGAAAGACCAAAGAGGGGGACCUUCGGGCCUCUUGCCAUCAGAUGUGCCCAGAUGGGAUUAGCUAGUUGGUGAGGUAACGG